AAGUUUGGGCUCUAUCUG
rnacentral:snRNA from 1 species